GACGAACGCUGGCGGCGUGCUUAACACAUGCAAGUCGAACGGAAAGGCCCUGCUUUUGUGGGGUGCUCGAGUGGCGAACGGGUGAGUAACACGUGAGUAACCUGCCCUUGACUUUGGGAUAACUUCAGGAAACUGGGGCUAAUACCGGAUAGGAGCUCCUGCUGCAUGGUGGGGGUUGGAAAGUUUCGGCGGUUGGGGAUGGACUCGCGGCUUAUCAGCUUGUUUGUGGGGUAGUGGCUUACCAAGGCUUUGACGGGUAGCCGGCCUGAGAGGGUGACCGGCAAAAUUGGGACUGAGAUACGGCCCAGACUCCUACGGGAGGCAGCAGUGGGGAAUAGUGCACAAUGGGCGGAAGCCUGAUGCAGCAACGCCGCGUGCGGGAUGACGGCCUUCGGGUUGUAAACCGCUUUCGCAUGUGACGAAGCGUGAGUGACGGUAAUGGGUAAAGAAGCACCGGCUAACUACGUG
rnacentral:rRNA from 1 species